GAGGGUGGGGUGGGGGGUUGUGGAAGGGGACUGCAGCCAUUUCAUUUUUACUAUGACGGUAUAACUCGUUUUUCCGCUUCCGAUCAAGUGCUAGUGAAGUAUACGCCGAUCCAUGGCUGGAAGGAGUCAACCUCCAUACAGAAGGCCACGUGGCAACUUUUCCUCUUCUUCUUCCAGAUCCUUCCAGCCUUCUCAACCUUGCCGCAAAUUUCAGUCCCACCCAACCAACGAUGCUUCUCCCGACAGUAACAACAACAAGACAAGCUCAAGUAAUUUGGACAGAUCAAUUGAUGGAGAUAUUGAUGAUGUUCACAAUUUACCAUCCUUAGUUGGAACUUGCCCUUUCAUGUGUCCUGUUGAGGAGAGGGAAAAGCGAGAGAGGCUGCGAGACUUAGCUGUGUUCGAGAGGCUAUAUGGAAAUCCUCGCGAAUCAUCACCAAGCCUUGCUGUUAAAAAGUUCUGCAGGACUAUAUCCGCAAAGACUCUGCAAGAUUCUGAUGUGAGGCCUCUCUCAGUGUUGGAAGACACUUUAAACUAUCUGUGUAACUUGCUGGACUCUACGGAGCAUCCCUUUGAGGUGGUUCAUGACUUCAUCUUUGAUAGGAUGAGGUCCAUUAGACAAGACCUAAGUAUGCAAAAUAUCUCUUGCAGUCGAGUGGUCUCUAUGUAUGAGAGAAUGGUUAAGUUUCAUAUAAUUUCCCAGCAUAAGCUUAGAAGAUGUAGUGGCUCAAAUAUUUCUUCGCUGUCAUACCUCAACAUGGAGCAGCUAAUGAAGGCAUUGGUGACUUUAUUUACUCUUUAUGAAGCAAAUCGAACUUCACAGUCCAUCUUCGAAAAUGAAGCUGAAUUUUUUUCCUUUUAUGUGCUUCUCCACCUUGAUUCUAAAACCCAAGGAACAGUUAAGGGGGAGACACUAUCUUUAUGGUUCCGACGCGUUCCUUCUCACAUUAUGAAGUCAACAGAAAUGAAUUUUGCUCGGAAGAUCUUGAGAUACUUUAGAUUGGGCUUCUACAAGAAUUUUAUCCAUAUCACAGAAUCUGAUGCAUCCUACUUGCAGUAUUGCAUUAUUGAGCCUUCUAUCAAUGAGGUUCGAGCACUAGCUAUUUCCUGUGUGAAUUAUGGAGGAUACAAGCCUCAGCCUUUUCCCUUGGUGGCUCUUUCCAAACUCCUAAUGAUGAAGGAAUGGGAUCUAGAAUCUUUCUGCAAUGACAGUGGCCUUCAAACCUCAGUCGAUGAAGAAGGAAAUAGUUGCUUGCCUACCAAGCAAACAACUCUUAUCCAUCCAAAAGGAGGGUUGCACAAGUAUUAUCCGCUGGAAUCAGAACGGUUCGAGAGGUAAAAGUUUUAUUAAAGACAUUGUGUUGGGAGAGUUGGAGUACUCUGAGAGGCAUCGCGAUUUUGGGUAUUGUAGGGGUAUAAGGAUUGAUGAGGUUAAGGAUGUUAUUCGUAGGAUGCGCAGGGGAAGAGCGACCGAACCUGACGAGAUUCCUGGGGAAUUUUGGAAGUGUGCAGGCAGGGCAGGCUGGCUGACUGGGUUGUUUAAUGUCAUUUUCAAGACGGCGAAGAUGCCCGAAGAAUGGAGGUGGAGUACAAUGAUUCCUUUGUACAAGAACAAGGGCGACAUUAAGAGCUGCAACAACUAUAGAGGUAUCAAGCUGCUAACCCACACUAUGAAAGUGUGGGAAAGGGUGGUAGAGAUGAGGGUGAGGCGAGGCGUGUCUAUUUCAGAGAACCAGUUCGGAUUCAUGCUAGGGCGCUCUACUACAAAAGCCAUUCAUAUUGUUAGGAGAUUGGUGGAGCAGUUUAGGGUGCGGAAGAGGGACUUGCACAUGGUAUUCAUCGACCUAGAGAAGGCUACGAUAGAGUGCCAAGAGAGGUUUUAUGGAGAUGCUUGGAGGCUAAAGUUGUACCGGUGGCGUACAUUAGAGCGAUCAAGGACAUGUAUGAUGAAGCCAAGACCAGGGCAAGGACAGUAGGAGGAGACUCGGAGCACUUCCCAGUUCUGAUGGGUUUGCAUCAGGGAUCAACUAUUAGCCCAUUUUUAUUUGCUUUGGUAAUCGAUGGAUUGACGCGACAAAUUCAAGGUGAGGUGCCAUGGUGUAUGUUGUUUGCGGAUGACAUGAUCUUAAUUGACGAGACUCGUAGCGGAGUUAACGCUAAGCUAGAGGGUUGGAGGCAAACGUUGGAGUCUAAAGGAUUCAAGCUAAGUAGGACCAAGACGGAGUACAUGGAGUGCAGGUUCAGUGGUGUACCAAAUGAGGCUGGCGUGGAAGUGAGACUUGGUACCUAGGCCGUCCAAAAGAAAGAAAGUUUCAAGUACCUUGGGUCUAUUAUACAAGGAAAUGGAGAUAUCGACGAUGAUGUCACUCAUCGUAUUGGUGCAGGGUGGAUGAAAUGGAGGCUCGCUUUUGGAGUGUUGUGUGACAAGAAAGUGCCACCAAAACUUAAGGGCAAGUUCUACAAAGUGUUGGUUAGACCGACUUUGUUGUACGGGACAGAAUGUUGGCCAAUCAAAAACUCUCAUGUGCAGAAGAUGAAAGUUGCGGAAAUGAGAAUGUUGCGGUGGAUGUGUGGGCACACUAGGAGAGAUAUGAUUAGGAAUGAAGACAUCCGGGACAUGGUGGGAGUGGCAUCGGUGGAGGACAAGAUGCGGGAAGCGAGACUGAGAUGGUUUGGGCAUGUGAAGAGGAGAGACACAGAUGCCCCAGUGCGGAAGUGUGAGAGGUUGGCUAUGGACGGUCUCAGGAGAGGUAGAGGUAGGUCAAAGAAGUAUUGAGGAGAGGUGAUUAGACAGGACAUGGCGCAGUUUCAGCUUAUCGAGGACAUGACCUUAGAUAGAAGGUCGUGGAGGACUCAGAUUAGGAUAGAAGGCUAGUGAGGCUAAUAGGUUUUCUGUUGUACUGCAAGAGCUUUGAUGGUUAAGGAGAUGAAAAUUUGUCUGGAAGCAUUCAAUUUGCUGAGUCGAUAAGCUAUUGAGCUGGUUGGAGAUUGAAGAUUCAGCUAAAGAACACUGGAGCUCGAGAUCAAAUUUACAUAACAUUAUUUUAAUCUUGCUCAAUGCCUCAUCUUGAAAGUACUCCGCAGUCUCGGGCCAUGCCAAUUAGAUCCGUUUUAAAGUUUGUAUUUUACGGAUGAAAAAAUAAAGUUUGUAUUUUGCAUAUUUCUGCAAUCUAACUGUAAAUGUCCCCCCUCCCCCUUUCCUCUCCUCACGAGGCACUGUAUCAUUCCUGCUACUUCAAUAUCCAUAUGGAUGGAAAAGAAGAAAAGAAAAAGAAAAAAAAGUUUGUACCAUUCUGUUUUCGAUUCUGCAGAAAUAGAAACACGUUUUAAGUUAUAAGAA